UACAGAGGGUGCAAGCGUUAAUCGGAAUUACUGGGCGUAAAGCGUGCGUAGACGGUUACAUAAGUCGGGUGUGAAAGCCCCGGGCUCAACCUGGGAAUUGCAUUCGAGACUGCGUAGCUAGGGUGCGGAAGAGGGAAGCGGAAUUUCCGGUGUAGCGGUGAGAUGCGUAGAUAUCGGAAGGAACACCAGUGGCGAAAGCGGCUUCCUGGUCCAGCACCGACGUUCAGGCACGAAAGCGUGGGGGAGCAAACAGGAUUAGAUACCCUGGUAGUCCACGCCAUAAACGAUGAGAACUAGACGUUGAAGGGGUAAGCCCUCCAGUGUCGUAGCUAACGCGCUAAGUUCUCCGCCUGGGGAGUACGGCCGCAAGGUUGAAACUCA
rnacentral:rRNA from 1 species